rnacentral:tRNA from 1 species
CGGGAUGUGGCUCAGUUUGGCUAGAGCGCAGCGUUCGGGACGCUGAGGCCGGAGGUUCGAAUCCUCUCAUCCCGA